ensembl:lincRNA
AUGACACAAAGCAGGGUUCAGCUCACUCAUUCUCCUCUACUCUUCCACAGUCAUCCAGGGCUCCCACAGCCACCGGAUCAAGACCCACGUCAGCCUGCAGUUCAAAGACAGAGAUGCGAGCCGUUCCUCACAGAGCCAGUAUUCGCCCCUCCUGGAAUGUGGUCAGGGCACCAGACGGGACCCAGCGAUGAGUGGGCAGAUGGACAGAUGUCUGCAAAUCCACCAGGGAUGGAAACAAGCCACGGACUCCAUGCCGGAUGGGUCCAUACUGGGUACCAUUUCUACCGCAAACAGGGGCAUAGGGUUUCUAAGGGAGAGAGGGGGCGGGGAUUGGUAGGGAGUGUGCUCUCCCUCAAGUGCAUAACUGAGACCGGGGUGUGCUCACGAGUUGACCUGUGUCUGACUUCAUUCCCACUGUCUUCACUAAUGACGUCAGUCAGGGAAUGAGGACACCAUGAGUGAUCAUUAAAUUUACAUACAAUACAUCUCAAGCAAUUGUUUUCUAUGAUGACCUCGUCCCCUAUCUCCAGAUCUCUGAACUUGUCAAACAUUAAGCUUGUUUCUGUGUCGAUCACGCCCUCUGUCACACUUCAUGUUUUGGAUAUUUACUGUCUGGUUGUUAGACCUCAAGAUUCUGUAGAAGAGUGAUGAAGUCAUUUUUCUAUGUGUCUCCCAUAGGGCCCUGGACAGGCUAAGCACUCAAUAAAUAAAGAGUGAGAUCAUCUACUGUGAGCUUUGCCUUGGAGCGACCAUCCUGGUUCUCUCCAGGGAUGAGCUGCCUGUGUCUCUCCAGGUCACGUCCACUCCCCAGUCCAUUGCCUUCACAGGUCAUGAGCUGGGGCCAUCUUCCCCAGAGGACUUUUAGGUUGAGCCCAUUUUAAAAGAUACCCAUUGUUCCUGUUUGUGACUCAUCAUUCCCUCACAGAACAAGUGUCGCUUUGAUUACCUAGUAGAGGCAAGGUUCUGUGCUCGAUGGUUAAACAGACUGCCACCAUACAUGGUCCCAGACCGGAGAAAUGGACUUCGGUUCUCAAGUUUCUCCUCUCCACAGAAAAUGGGGGGAAGCUCCAGCUUCACACUCACGGCCUAAAAUAAAAACAUUUUAGACAGUUUGUAUGAAUAUAUAAUCACACGUUCUGUAAGUACAGAAAAUUGGUCGUUCCUUUUAAAGUCCGUUUAAAGCACCUGGUUGGCUCAGUCCGUUAACCGUUGGCCUCAGGUCACGCUCUCAGCAUCUGCCCAGGCUGGAGCCGUGGUCGGGCGCUCUGCUCCUCCCCUGCCUCCUUCCUCUCCUUCCAUCUCUCUCUCUUUCUCUCUCAAAAUGGAUAAAUAAAAUAUUUCUACAGAAAUCAAAUAAAAUCAACUUAGAUGCAAUCCCUUGUUUCUAGAGAGCCGCCAGCCACUAAAUGCCGGUUAUUGUUCGGACUCUCUUGGCUGGGAUACCCAGGAAUCAGGAGGGUUUCAUGGUUCUGGAGAUGAGGGAUGUGACCUGUAUUCACCCCCAGCAUGUGGCCAUGUCCUCCGGCAGUCUCCUCCAAGACACGCUAGCCCUUUUGAGCAGGCUGGCCACAGUUUCUUGUCAAAGGGCUCAGUUCCCCAGGAGGCCCAGGGGGCCUGAGAGGGACAGGGCAAAGCCAAGUCUCUGCCACUCUCAGAACUUCAUGGGAAAGCUCC